GACGAAGGGGGCUAGCGUUGCUCGGAAUCACUGGGCGUAAGGGGUGCGUAGGCGGGUCUUUAAGUCAGAGGUGAAAUCCUGGAGCUCAACUCCAGAACUGCCUUUGAUACUGAGGAUCUUGAGUUCGGGAGAGGUGAGUGGAACUGCGAGUGUAGAGGUGAAAUUCGUAGAUAUUCGCAAGAACACCAGUGGCGAAGGCGGCUCACUGGCCCGAUACUGACGCUGAGGCACGAAAGCGUGGGGAGCAAACAGG
rnacentral:rRNA from 1 species